UACGUAGGGGGCAAGCGUUGUCCGGAAUCAUUGGGCGUAAAGAGCGCGUAGGCGGCCCGAUAAGUCCGCUGUGAAAGUCAAGGGCUCAACCCUUGGAUGCCGGUGGAUACUGCAGGGCUAGAGUCCGGAAGAGGCGAGUGGAAUUCCUGGUGUAGCGGUGAAAUGCGCAGAUAUCUGGAGGAACACCGAUGGCGAAGGCAGGUCUCUGGGCCGAUACUGACGCUGAGGAGCGAAAGCGUGGGGAGCGAACAGG
rnacentral:rRNA from 1 species